rnacentral:rRNA from 1 species
UCAAAACAUUGUCUUAUGAAUAAAAUAUUAGAUAAUACCUGCCCAGUGACACUCUGUUUAACGGCCGCGGUAUCCUAACCGUGCAAAGGUAGCAUAAUCAUUUGCCUAUUAAUUGUAGGCUAGAAUGAAGGGGUUAACGAAAUAAAAGCUGUCUCAAUUAAUUAACUAAAAAUUAUUUUCUAUCUGAAGAAAGGUAGAUAAUCUCGAAGGACAAGAAGACCCUAUAGAGCUUAAUUUUAACUAUAGAAAUAUACUAUAUAAAUAUUCGGUUGGGGCGACCCAGGGAUGAUUAAUCACCCAUUAAACAAAAGAUUUAUAAAUCUAAUAAAUGACCCUCUAAAGAUCACAAGAACAAGCUACCUUAGGGAUAACAGACUAAUCCCACUUAAGAGUCCUUAUCAAUAGUGGGGUUUGGCACCUCGAUGUUGGCUUAGGGUAUCUCUAUAGCGCAAAAGUUAUAUAAAGAUGGUUUGUUCAACCAAUAAUUCCCUACGUGAUCUUUU